UACGUAGGGGGCUAGCGUUGUCCGGAAUCAUUGGGCGUAAAGAGCGUGUAGGCGGUCCGAUAAGUCCGCUCUGAAAGCCCGGGGCUCAACCCCGGGAGGCGGGCGGAUACUGUCGGGCUAGAGUCCGGAAGAGGCAAGUGGAAUUCCUGGUGUAGCGGUGAAAUGCGCAGAUAUCAGGAGGAACACCGGUGGCGAAGGCGGGUCUCUGGGCCGAUACUGACGCUGAGGAGCGAAAGCGUGGGGAGCGAACAGG
rnacentral:rRNA from 1 species